UACGUAGGUGGCGAGCGUUGUCCGGAUUUACUGGGCGUAAAGAGCGCGCAGGCGGUCGUACAAGUCGCGUGUGAAAGCCCCCGGCUCAACUGGGGAGGGUCACGCGAUACUGUUCGACUCGAAGGCAGGAGAGGGAAGCGGAAUUCCCGGUGUAGUGGUGAAAUGCGUAGAUAUCGGGAGGAACACCAGUGGCGAAGGCGGCUUCCUGGCCUGUUCUUGACGCUGAGACACGAAAGCGUGGGUAGCAAACAGG
rnacentral:rRNA from 1 species